UACGAAGGGGGCUAGCGUUGCUCGGAAUUACUGGGCGUAAAGCGCACGUAGGCGGCUUCUUAAGUCGGUGGUGAAAUCCUGGAGCUCAACUCCAGAACUGCCUCGAUACUGGGAAGCUCGAGUCCGGGAGAGGUGAGUGGAACUGCGAGUGUAGAGGUGAAAUUCGUAGAUAUUCGCAAGAACACCAGUGGCGAAGGCGGCUCACUGGCCCGGUAC
rnacentral:rRNA from 1 species